AUGAGGCCACCUCACGCAGCGCUCCUCUUGCUCUUCAUCCUAGCGUACUUCCGCGGUGCCUACUCCAAUGGCAGCCGGAGCCGUUUCACAUCCAUAAUCAGCUUCGGCGACUCCUUCGCCGACACCGGUAAUUUGGUCAUGUGGGCUGAUCCCGUCCUUCCGGGUCUACUACUCAAGAACCUCCCCUACGGCGAGACCUUCUUCGGCCACCCCACUGGACGUGCCACCGACGGCCGCCUUGUGCUGGACUUCAUCGCCGAAGCUCUGGGUCUGCCUUUCGUGCCGCCGUACCUUGACAAGGGGGGCAACUUCUCCGCUGGAGUAAACUUCGCCGUGGCAGGAGCGCCGGCUGUAACCCUGCAAUACCUGCAGGGACAGAAUUUGAUCGUGAACCCUCCUAUCAAUAGUUCCCUCUAUGAUCAGCUCGUGUGGUUCCAGAAACUGAAGCCUUCGCUCUGCAAGGGUCGACAAGGUACUGAUUGCUUCGGGAGCUCCUUGUUUGUCAUGGGAGAGUUUGGAGCAAAUGACUACAGGAGCUUCCUUCUGUCCAACAGGACUGUGGAACAAGCCACAGCUUAUGUUCCCCAAAUCGUUGACAGCGUCUCCCAAGGCGUAGAGGUACUCUAUAUGCUGUGCACAGAAUAG
rnacentral:rRNA from 1 species